AGCUUACUCAUUUUCUCAUUUUUAUCUUUUUUUUCUCUUUUUCUUUUUGCCUGCAUCCAUGAUCUUCUUAUAAAACCCGGCGUGAUCUGGCUGAUAAUGGUUUGAAAAGAACAG
rnacentral:ribozyme from 12 species